UGUAAGCGUAUACCAAAGUUGUUGCAGUUAAAACGCUCGUAGUCGGAAUUUGGCAGUUCCGGAUGUGUGCACGUCGUGUGCGCACUUCGCGGGGAUUGCUUUUGUGGUCUUGCGUAGGAUGAGGCACUUUUAUUAGUGAACGUCCUCACGCAACCACUUUUUACUGUGAGAAAAUCAGAGUGCUCAAAGCAGGCAUUUGCCGUGAAUGUAUUAGCAUGGAAUAAUAGAAUAGGACUUGGUUCUAUUUUGUUGGUUUGUUGGGACUGGGUAAUGAUUAAGAGGGACAGUUGGGGGCAUUUGUAUUUCGGCGCUAGAGGUGAAAUUCUUAGAUUGCCGAAAGACAAACUGCUGCGAAAGCGUCUGCCAAGGAUGUUUUCAUUGA
rnacentral:rRNA from 1 species